rnacentral:rRNA from 1 species
UACGUAGGGUGCGAGCGUUGUCCGGAAUUACUGGGCGUAAAGAGCUCGUAGGUGGUUUGUCGCGUUGUUCGUGAAAACCUGAGGCUUAACCUUGGGCGUGCGGGCGAUACGGGCAGACUGGAGUACUGCAGGGGAGACUGGAAUUCCUGGUGUAGCGGUGGAAUGCGCAGAUAUCAGGGGGAACACCGGUGGCGAAGGCGGGUCUCUGGGCAGUAACUGACGCUGAGGAGCGAAAGCGUGGGGAGCGAACAGG